CGGAGCGGCCGGGCGGCGAUUGGGCGGCAGGCGAGGCGGCCAGCUGAUCAGAGGCAGCGGCAGCCGCCUGGCGGUCCGGCCCCUUUGGCUACCCGCAGCAGUUCUUCAGUGGCACGCUUUACGUCCCCUCCAGCAACUAAAGCUGCCAGUUGAAGAACUGUUGGCCGUAGCUGCACUCGCCCAGGGCCAGCCGCCCACCCUGCGGAUGGAUGGAUGGAUGGAUGGAUGGAUACAGCUUCUGGAGGCAGCUGCACCGGGUCCCUGACAGACAGGAUUUGAGAAGUGGCCUGUUCCAGCCAGAGGGAGUCGGAGGCGACCUUGAAUGGGCCAUGGGUCUGACCCCCCCCCCCCAAGCAGUGUUUCCCAGCCUUGAAGAUUCAUGACUUCAACAUGGCUGACUGGGGGAUUCUAGGAGUUAAAAGUCCACAUAACUUAAAGUUGCCAGGUUGGGAAGCACUGCCCUAGCGCCUUAAGACUGGAACAAAGCCAAAAGCCUGCUGGUGGUCAGUGGCCCCCAGCUCAAGUUUCAGAAGAAAGGGACUGAAGUCACAA